CUGUUCACCCCAGUGACCAACCCAGUUGUGAUCACAGGGGAAGUAACCAUGGGACAGAUGAAUAAAGACAGCCAGACCUGGGAGGUCCCACUGAUAAAUGACCACGAGAAGGGUUGGUCACUGUGAGGAGGAUCUCCCUGAGGAAGAAGCUGGAGUUAAAACCAGUAAAAUACAUAAAAGUAAAAGUAGAUAAUCAAACAAAUAAGUAAACCCCAAUGGAAAGGUAAAAAACUAAAAAUGAUGGUUGAAAAGCAAUCGAUUAUGAUUAAAUAUAAUAAAAUGGUUUCAAUAUCAAAUAAAUAAAUUUCUAAUUAAUUUCCACAUUAAAAAUGUUGGUCUUCCUUUAAAAGAAAUUUGUAAACAGCAUUAAAAUGCAACAACUUAAGAAUUCUAAAACGUCAAAAUGUCUGAUCAGUUUUUUAUGUUUGAAAUAACAACAAAACUUCAACGUUUUGUCUCGUGUGCUGUCAGAUCGGUGCAGACUUCUGAGUGUUGUUGUCUUGUUUCAACAGGAGUUACACUGGACAUCCUUUUCAAAAGCUCUGACCUGCUGCUGCAACCUAUUUAUUCUGACCGACUGAAGGUUGCUGGAUGGUUGCUACUUGAAUUCAGCAUCCUUUACAGUUUCUACCUGUUUCAUCAUCUGUCCUACGGCAUGAUGGGUCCUCUUGCUCAUGAGUCGGGGAGUGCAAUGGCGGGCCUGAAGUGGAUGGACUCCUGGGAUUUCUAGUUAUCCUUGUUUGAUGAAGAUGCAGAUGGAUUCUCGUCAAAGACCUUGAGUAUUUGAGCUCUUGAUGGAGUUUGAGUCUAAACAUUUCAUAUGUUGUCUUUCUAUAAGAAAAAUGUGAAUUCAAUCUAUUUGAAAAAGCAGAUUGUGCAAUCCAUUAAGGUACGCCUGAAUUGUCACCAAGUGGCGUUAAGUGACAAAUUAAAUUCCAUUUGAAAGAGA